rnacentral:rRNA from 1 species
UGGGGAAUUUUGGACAAUGGGCGAAAGCCUGAUCCAGCAAUGCCGCGUGUGUGAAGAAGGCCUUCGGGUUGUAAAGCACUUUUGUCCGGAAAGAAAUCCUUGGCUCUAAUACAGUCGGGGGGAUGACGGUACCGGAAGAAUAAGCACCGGCUAACUACGUGCCAGCAGCCGCGGUAAUACGUAGGGUGCAAGCGUUAAUCGGAAUUACUGGGCGUAAAGCGUGCGCAGGCGGUUUGCUAAGACCGAUGUGAAAUCCCCGGGCUCAACCUGGGAACUGCAUUGGUGACUGGCAGGCUAGAGUAUGGCAGAGGGGGGUAGAAUUCCACGUGUAGCAGUGAAAUGCGUAGAGAUGUGGAGGAAUACCGAUGGCGAAGGCAGCCCCCUGGGGCCAAUACUGACGCUCAUGCACGAAAGCGUGGGGGAGCAAACAGGAUUAGAUACCCUGGUAGUCCACGCCCUAAACGAUGUCAACUAGUUGUUGGGGAUUCAUUUCCUUAGUACGUAGCUAACGCGUGAAGUUGACCGCCU